rnacentral:lncRNA from 1 species
UUCUCACACAACGAUGUCCUAGUUUAUUAAAACAAGAAAUCAUCAAUACAUGGAAAAUACCAUUCAACUGCAUAUACAUGAUCAAUAUAUAACAUACAGUGGGUCUGGAAUUAUUGACACCCUUGAUAAAGAUAAUAAUGACUGAAUAAAAUACAUCAAUAUAUAAAAUACAGUGGGUCUGGAAUUAUUGACACCCCUGAUAAAGAUAAUAAUGACUGUAUAAAUAAAUAAUUUAAAUACUGAGCUCUAUCAUCUGCUCAACAACAUGUGUCAAUUAUAUUAUUUUAUGUUAAUACGGUUGAUCUGAUUUAAAAUAUUUUGUUUAACAAGUAAUAUUUAUUUUCUAAAUUAUUGACCCCCCUAUAGAUUCUAAAGGUAUAAAUUAUUGACCCCCCUAUAGAUUCUAAAGGUCUAAAUUAUUGACCCCCUAUAGAUCCUAAAGGUCUAAAUUAUUGACCCCCUAUAGAUUCUAAAAGUCUAAUUUAUUGACCCCCUAUAGAUUCUAAAGGUCUAAAUUAUUGACCCCCCUAUAGAUUCUAAAGGUCUAAAUUAUUGACCCCCUAUAGAUUCUAAAGGUCUAAAUUAUUGACCCCCUAUAGAUUCUAAAGGUCUAUAUUAUUGACCCCCUAUAGAUUCUAAAGGUAUAAAUUAUUGACCCCCUAUAGAUUCUAAAGGUCUAAUUUAUUGACCCCCUAUAGAUUCUAAAGGUCUAAAUUAUUGACCCCCUAUAGAUUCUAAAGGUCUAAAUUAUUGACCCCCUAUAGAUUCUAAAGGUCUAAAUUAUUGACCCCCUAUAGAUUCUAAAGGUAUAAAUUAUUGACCCCCUAUAGAUUCUAAAGGUAUAAAUUAUUGACCCCCUAUAGAUUCUAGUAAUUAAAGUAGUCAGGAGGUCAGUAUUUGGUUCUAUAGUCAUAGUAAUGACAUCAUCAAACUCCUGGAGAUUUUGGGCUGUCAAUCAUUUUGACCCCUAACUUAAAAAAUAUAUAUAUUUCUCUCAGCAAUUGUAUUAGUUUAAAAUAAUAUAAUUAGUUUAUAAUAAUAUACUAUAAUUUAUGUUGAGCAAUAGGUCAGUAUUUGAUUUAUUUAAUAUAGUCAUUAUUGCUAAUCUUUAGCAAGGAUGUCAAUAAUUUCUGACCCCUCUGUAUAUUCUCAAGGCGAAUAUUAAAAAAGUAGAGCAAAAAUAAACACUUCACAAAGUUAAAUAAAAAACUGGCACAUUGACAUGAAGCUACAAUAGAAGCUGACAGGUUGAAGCUACAAUAGAAGCUGACAGGUCGAAGCUACAAUAGAAGCUGACAGGUAGAAGCUACAAUAGAAGCUGACAGGUUGAAGCUACAAUAGAAGCUGACAGGUUGAAGCUACAAUAGAAGCUGACAGGUAGAAGCUACAAUAGAAGCUGACAGGUAGAAGCUACAAUAGAAGCUGACAGGUUGAAGCUACAAUAGAAGCUGACAGGUUGAAGCUACAAUAGAAGCUGACAGGUUGAAGCCACAAUAGAAGCUGACAGGUUGAAGCUACAAUAGAAGCUGACAGGUUGAAGCUAAAACAGAAAUAUAAACAUUUCAACAAAUGGUUUUAUCAGUCUUGUUCACAGGAGGCUGCUGAGGGGAGGAGCCUCAUUAUAACGUCUGGAACGGAGCCAAUGGAACAGCAUCAAACAUGGAAACCAUGGAAACCACAUGUUUGAUGUAUUUGAUACCAUUCCACUGAUUCCUCUUCAGCCAUUACCACGAGCCCCUCCUCCCUAAUUAAGGUGCCACCAGCCUCCUGUGGUCCUGUUGAUAUACCUGUGAUUAUCAGGUACUGGACAUAAGAGGGUCUGUAACAGAUUCUAACAGGAGACCUUAGUCCAUCGUUCCAUUCAAUUCAACACUAUCAAUACCUGAGGGGGAUUAGAAAGACAUUGUUUAUGGGGAACACAUAUAUAGAAUAACCAGGAAAUGGAUAUAAACCCAUAAUACAAACAUGGGUAGUAAAACUUCUAAAAGUAAAGAACUAACUACUGGAAGUGGAUUAUAGAGGAGUGACCAACACGUUGAUCAGAGGACUCUGUCUCACCAAGAUUCAUAUCACUCAGUUAUAUACUCAGAAACUCAGCUUUGUUAGGUGGGAUAGGUCUCUAUAGAAAGUUACUGUCUCUCUAUAGUAACUCAGCUCUAUAGUUAUAGUCUCUCUAUAGUAACUCAGCUCUAUAGUUAUAGUCUCUCUAUAGUAACUCAGCUCUAUAGUUAUAGUCUCUAUAGUAACUCAGCUCUAUAGUUAUAGUCUCUCUAUAGUAACUCAGCUCUAUAGUUAUAGUCUCUCUAUAGUAACUCAGCUCUAUAGUUAUAGUCUCUCUAUAGUAAAUCAGCUCUAUAGUUAUAGUCUCUCUAUAGUAACUCAGCUCUAUAGUUAUAGUCUCUCUAUAGUAACUCAGCUCUAUAGUUAUAGUCUCUCUAUAGUAACUCAGCUCUAUAGUUAUAGUCUCUCUAUAGUAACUCAGCUCUA